UACGGGGGGAGCGAGCGUUGUUCGGAUUUACUGGGCGUAAAGGGCGCGUAGGCGGCCAGCGCAAGUCAGUUGUGAAAUCUCCGGGCUUAACUCGGAAAGGUCAACUGAUACUGCGCGGCUAGAGUGCAGAAGGGGCAACUGGAAUUCUCGGUGUAGCGGUGAAAUGCGUAGAUAUCGAGAGGAACACCUGCGGCGAAGGCGGGUUGCUGGGCUGACACUGACGCUGAGGCGCGAAAGCUAGGGGAGCGAACGGG
rnacentral:rRNA from 1 species